rnacentral:rRNA from 1 species
UACGGAGGGGGCUAGCGUUGUUCGGAAUUACUGGGCGUAAAGCGCACGUAGGCGGCUUUGUAAGUUAGAGGUGAAAGCCCGGGGCUCAACUCCGGAAUUGCCUUUAAGACUGCAUCGCUAGAAUUGUGGAGAGGUAAGUGGAAUUCCGAGUGUAGAGGUGAAAUUCGUAGAUAUUCGGAAGAACACCAGUGGCGAAGGCGACUUACUGGACCGGUUCUGACACUGAGGAGCGAAAGCGUGGGGAGCGAUCCGG